CCGUUCCCAUGCCGAACACGGAAGUUAAGCUCUUCAGCGCCGAUGGUAGUUGGGGGUUUCCCCCUGUGAGAGUAGGACGUCGCUAGGC
rnacentral:rRNA from 1 species